rnacentral:rRNA from 1 species
UACAGAGGAGCCAAGCGUUGUCCGGAUUGACUGGGCGUAAAGCGCACGCAGGCGGGGGGGCGCGUGGGGUGUGAAAUCUGGCCGCUUAACGGCCAGGCGCCAUCCCAUACGGCACGCCUGGAGCCUUGCAGAGGUCGGUGGAAUUGCCGGUGUAGUGGUGAAAUGCGUAGAUAUCGGGAGGAACACCAGUGGCGAAGGCGACUACCUGGCCUGUUCUUGACGCUGAGGCGCGAAAGCUAGGGGAGCAAACGGG